GACGAACGCUGGCGGCGUGCUUAACACAUGCAAGUCGAACGAAGUGGCGAACGGGUGAGUAACGCGUAAUCAACCUGCCCUUCAGAGGGGGACAACAGUUGGAAACGACUGCUAAUACCGCAUACUGAAGGAGGGGAUUGCGUCUGAUUGGCUAGUUGGAGGGGUAACGGCCCACCAAGGCGAUGUUCAGUAGCCGGUCUGAGGGGAUGAACGGGCACAUUGGGACUGAGAAACGGCCCAGACUUCUACGGGAGGCAGCAGGGGGGAAUCUUCCGAAAUGGACGAAAGGCUGAAGGAGCAAAGCCGCGGGAGUGAUGACGGGCUUCGGGUUGUAAAGAUCUGUUAAUCGGGACGCGGUACCGGAAUAGAAAGCCACGGCUAACUACGUGCCAGCAGCCGCGGUAAUAC
rnacentral:rRNA from 1 species